UACGUAGGGUGCAGGCGUUAAUCGGAAUUACUGGGCGUAAAGCGUGCGCAGGCGGUGAUGUAAGACAGUUGUGAAAUCCCCGGGCUCAACCUGGGAACUGCAUCUGUGACUGCAUCGCUGGAGUGCGGCAGAGGGGGAUGGAAUUCCGCGUGUAGCAGUGAAAUGCGUAGAUAUGCGGAGGAGCACCGAUGGCGAAGGCAAUCCCCUGGGCCUGCACUGACGCUCAUGCACGAAAGCGUGGGGAGCAAACAGG
rnacentral:rRNA from 1 species